UUGUCUUCGGACAUUUUUAUCCUUAACACCUGUGAACUAUUGUAAUUUUUUGCUUUGGUCCUUCGGGGCCAGAGGAUUUAAUCAAAACCUUUUAUUAUUAACCUGAGUCUGAAAAUUGAAAAAUUGAAUUAUUCAAAACUUUCAACAACGGAUCUCUUGGUUCUCGCAUCGAUGAAGAACGCAGCGAACUGCGAUAAGUAAUGUGAAUUGCAGAAUUUUGUGAAUCAUCGAAUCUUUGAACGCACAUUGCGCCUUUUGGUAUUCCAGAAGGCAUACCUGUUUGAGAGUCAUUUCUUCCUCAAUCCUCGGAUUGGUGUUGACUCGAGCGUUGCGAAACGCUGAGUCGAAAAGAAUUGGCAGGCAGGAAUUCAGUGCUUUACAGUGUCUUAGGUUUUACCAACUACGCUGGCCUAGUAACUGUUUUCUGAGCUGGCCUUUAUAACAGUUCUUUUAAAAGUUUGACCUCAAAUCAGGCAAGACUACCCGCUGAACUUAAGCAUAUCAAUAAGCGGAGGAAAAGAAACCAACCGGGAUUGCCCUAGUAACGGCGAGCGAAGCGGCAAAAGUCCAAAUUUGAAAUCUGGCGUCCUACGGGCGUCCGAGUUGUAAUUUGAAGAUGGUAACUUUGGGUUUGGCUCUUGCAUAAGUUCCUUGGAACAGGACGUCAUAGAGGGUGAGAAUCCCGUUCAUGGUAAGAUGCCCAUUCCUUUGUAAAGUGCCUUCGAAGAGUCGAGUUGUUUGGGAAUGCAGCUCUAAGUGGGUGGUAAAUUCCAUCUAAGACUAAAUAUUGGCGAGAGACCGAUAGCGAACAAGUACAGUGAUGGAAAGAUGAAAAGAACUUUGAAAAGAGAGUGAAAAAGUACGUGAAAUUGUUGAAAGGGAAGGGCUUGAAGUCAGACUUGGUAUUCAGUGAUCAACUGUCUUUCGGGACUGUGCACUCGCUGUUUACUGGGCCAACAUCGGUUUUGGCGGCGAGAUAAAUGCAUUGGAACGUGGCUCUAUCUUCGGGUGGAGUGUUAUAGCCUUUGUAAAUAUCGCCAGCUGGGACCGAGGACUGCGCAUCUGCUAGGAUGUUGGCGUAAUGAC
rnacentral:rRNA from 1 species